CGUAGGUGGCAAGCGUUGUCCGGAGUUACUGGGUGUAAAGGGCGUGUAGGCGGGAAGAUAAGUCAGAUGUGAAAUUCCAUGGCUCAACUGUGGCGCUGCAUCUGAAACUAUUUUCUUGAGUGAUGGAGAGGAAAGUGGAAUUCCUAGUGUAGCGGUGAAAUGCGUAGAUAUUAGGAGGAACACCAGUGGCGAAGGCGACUUUCUGGACAUUAACUGACGCUGAGGCGCGAAAGCGUGGGGAGCAAACAGGAUUAGAUACCCUGGUAGUCCACGCUGUAAACGAUGGAUACUAGGUGUAGGAGGUAUCGACCCCUCCCUGUGCCGCAGUUAACACAAUAAGUAUCCCACCUGGGGAGUACGGCCGCAAGGUUG
rnacentral:rRNA from 1 species